GACGAACGCUGGCGGCGUGCUUAACACAUGCAAGUCGAACGGAAACGCCCUGCUAUUGUGGGGUGCUCGAGUGGCGAACGGGUGAGUAACACGUGAGUAACCUGCUCUUGAUUUUGGGAUAACUUCAGGAAACUGGGCUUAAUCCAGGACAGCAGCCCCCCUACCUGUGAGGGGAUGGGAACUUUUGGGCGGUUGGGGUUGGACGCGCGGCUUACCAGUUAGUUGGUGGGCUAGGGGCUUACCAAGGCUUUCACGGAUCCCCGGCUGGUGAGGGUGACCGGCCUCAUGAGUACUGAGAUACGGCGCAGACUCCUACGGGAGGCAGCAGUGGGGAAUAUGGCACAAUGGUCGGAAGCCUGAUGCAGCAACCCCGCGUGCGUGAUGACGGCCUUCGGGUUGUAAACCGCAUUCGCCUGUGACGAAGCGUGAGUGACGGUAAUGGGUGAAGAAGCACCGGCUAACUACGUG
rnacentral:rRNA from 1 species